AUUUUAUUUUUUAACACCUACCCGACGAUUCUAUUAUUCAGUGAACAGUGUAUGAGUGAAAUUAUUAACAGUGUGUUUUUCGGGGAGGGCGCAAAAAAGGCAUCGUGCCCCGGGCGCCAGUUAUGCUCGCUACGCCCUGAAAAGUCCUCUUCUCCAAGAGGAAGCCCACCGUUGAUUACUGCGACUCGGAUUACACCAGCAACCGGUCUAUUUCAUCCAUCAAUUCGAUUAGUUUCAGAUUUCCUUUACAUGUUAUCAAAUUAUUGAGUACUUCAUUCAGUUGUGACUAAUAAACAGAACUUAGCUAUGUCUUUUCCACCAGAAGAUAGAGAGACAGCUAAGUACAUAUAUGUCCACCAUCAAUAUAGACAUAUUCUUAAAUUGCUUUUUUUUUUGUUUAACUCUUGUACCAGAUCAAUUUUUCUCUGGCAUCUUAUAAAAUUAAGACAUCAUUUUAAAGGACUC
rnacentral:lncRNA from 1 species